rnacentral:lncRNA from 1 species
AGAUUCUCUAGAUCAAGCUACCAUCAUGGAGCUUCAAAAUCCUUUUUCGAAUAUCAUCUUCAUUCUCUCCUUUCUCAUCCUCUUAGUUCUAUUCAAAAUAGUUCAAAGAUGGAGUUUUAACAAUUCGACUACCAAAUUGCCACCAGGACCAUGGAAACUACCCCUCAUAGGAAACUUACAUCAGAUUAUCAGCAGAUCAUUGCCCCAUCAUCUCUUCAAAAUUUUGGCAGAUAAAUAUGGACCUCUAAUGCACCUUAAACUAGGAGAGGUACCAUACGUAAUAGUUAGUUCACCAGAAAUUGCCAAAGAGAUUAUGAAAACACAUGAUCUCAACUUCUGCGACAGGCCAAACCUUCUUUUGUCCAAUAUAUAUAGUUACAAUGCUACAGACAUUGCCUUCGCUGCAUACGGUGAACAUUGGAGGCAAUUACGAAAGAUAUGUGUUAUAGAGCUAUUAAGUGCAAAGCGUGUACAAUCAUUUAGGUCCAUAAGAGAAGAUGAGGUGUCAAACCUUGUUAAAUCAAUAACUGCAAGUGAAGGAUCAGUUGUUAAUCUCACUCGGAAGAUUUUCUCAAUGACAAAUGGGAUAACAGCGCGGGCAGCUUUUGGGAAAAGGAAUAGACACCAAGAUGUGUUCAUACCAGCAUUGGAGAAAGUAGUGGUGCUAUUAGGAAGAUUUGAAAUUGCAGAUUUGUAUCCUUCUAUUAAAUUGCUUCAAUGGAUGACUAGGGAGAAGACCAAAAUGGAAAAACUUCAUACAGAGAUUGAUAUGAUAGCACAAGACAUCAUCGACGAUCACAGAAGUAUUCACAAGGAAGCAAGCAAUGAUGAAGAUCUAGUAGAUGUUCUUCUCAAGAUUCAACAGGAAAAUUAUCACUCAGAACAUCCUUUAACCGAUGACAAUAUGAAAUCAAUCAUCCAGGUUAGUCUAAACCGAAAGUGUUAGCAAGUUUAUUUCACAAUUUAAAAACUAGUUUACAAAUUUGCAUACGCUUAGAAGUCAGAUUUCUAGAGGAAAAAUAAAUAAGAUUAUCUUGAUUAAUAAUGCUCAUUCCGUCCCUAUAUCUAAGCAGUAAGCACCCUUUUAUUAGAGGGAAAGGGUGCUUACAUACAGGGACGGGGGGAGUAGUAUUUUGGAGAGACGUCAAAUUAAUGACUUAACUAUUGGGUAGCGUUGUAUGUAAUGUUAAUGUUAAUCCAUUUGUAGGACAUGUUCCUUGCUGGUACCGAAACAUCGUCACAGGUUCUGUUAUGGGCGAUGUCUGAGAUGGUGAAGAACCCAAAGGUAAUGGAAGAAGCACAAGAUGAAGUAAGUAGAGUGUUUGAUAAAAAGGAGUAUGUGGAUGAGACAGAGUUGCACCAAUUGAUAUACUUAAAGUCCGUCAUCAAAGAAACAUUGAGGUUGCAUCCCGUUGCACCAUUGUUAGUUCCAAGAGAAAGUAGGGAGAGAUGCCAAAUCAAUGGGUAUGAAAUCCCAGCUAAGACAAGGGUAAUGGUUAAUGCUUGGGCUAUUGGAAGAGAUUCAAGGUAUUGGGUUGAAGCUGAGAGUUUUAAACCUGAGAGGUUUGUUAAUAGUCCAAUUGAUUUCAAAGGCACGGACUUCGAAUUCAUACCAUUUGGUGCUGGAAGAAGGAUGUGUCCAGGUAUUUCAUUUGCCAUACCCAAUGUUGAGCUGCCUCUUGCUAAGUUACUUUAUCACUUUGAUUGGAAGCUUCCCAAUGGAAUGAGCCAUCAAGAACUUGAUAUGACUGAGUUUUUUGGGAUUACUGUAGGUAGAAAACACGACCUAUGUUUAAUUCCUACUACUCGUCGUCUUUAAUGUGUAUUAUCUAAGCAAACAAAUUCAAAAACAAUGUUCCUAAUAAAAUUUGUAAUGGUAAACUUUACAUAUAGGUUUACUAUAUGUCGUCUAAAAUUUGUGUAUGAUUGUACCACAAAUAUAGAAUAUGUGUCCAAGCAUUGCAUUUGGUUUAGCCAAUGUUGAACUGCGUCUUGCUGAAUUACUUUAUGACUUUGAUUGAAAGCUUUCCAAUGGAAUGAAUAAUGAAGAACAGUCGUUUGGGCUGACAGUCGGAAGAAAACACGACCUAUGUUCGUUUCCUAUUACAGGUUGUCUAUAAUAUUUGUAUUGUGCACUGCCUUUCAAAAAGAAAUAUUUGUAUUGUCUAACCAAAGAAGUUCACAAUGUGGUUAAUUAAUUACUUAUACUACUUUCUGCAAGGCGUCGUGUAAUUCGUUGUUCACAUUUUUAUUAAGAUUCUACGUUUGACAUUAGAUAACUUGAAAAUCCUGGGAUUUCUUCGGUUAAUCAGUUUGUUCCAACUCCUUCAUCAAAUCAAGAUAUGCCAAAGCAUUUGCAUCAUUUUGCACGCCUAUUUUAGUAUGUUUAAUUUGUAAGGAUUAAGAUUUCUCUCUCGGUUUUCUAUGUAGGACCACGAGAAAGAUGCAACUAAUUUCAUUUUUGUGUCAUGUCUCACUUGGUUCUCAGCAUUUGCAAACAUGCAUGUCGGUAAGUAUGUACGAGCAUGAAACAUUAUUCUUGUUAUUCAUUGCCUAUCCAAAAUAAAUAAAUAAAAUAGUUUUUGUAUUCUUUAAUGGGAAAUGCUAAUUAACUUGUCUAUUUAUGAAAUCUUUAACAUGAGUCAUAAGGGUACAAGUUAACAAGACCCUUCAUUAAUUUACCAAGCUUGUUUAAUGUUUUAACUUCAGGGGACACACAAGGAAUGCGGUGAAAGGAAUUUAGCAACAAAUUCAAAAUUCUUUGUGCUUUUGUACCCAAAUAAAUAGAUAUGUUUUUUUUACCUGAAAUCAUUAAAAUUUCAGGUAACGAUAAGUUAAUUAUUAAAGGAGUAAUGCUAGCAACACUCUUUUGAACACACUCUUUAAUACUACAUUUCUUAUUGGUUUAAAUCAUUGUGAGUCUACACUUUGAAAAUUGAACCUACACAAAGUGAUGGGACAUACAUUAAUUUCAUCUAAUAAAAGAGUGGAUGCUACAAAGAGUGUUCAAAAAUAAAUGUUUCUAACAUUACUAUUAUUGAUGUGUUGCCUCUUAUCUCAUUUUAAUAAAAAUCUCACCACUAGUUCAUAUACUUUACCACUAGUUUCUCACACUACACAUUCUAACACUAGGGUUUAUAAUAUCAUUCUGAUUCACGAACUAGUUAAAAGAUGUUGUUUUUUCAAGGGCGAGGGUUUGGUUGUUGCUCUCUUAGUUGCACUCUUAUCCUUUGAAGUUGAUAAAUAAAUGAAACCAAUUACUUCGAUUGAUUAUGAAAGCUCAAAAGACAUAAGUAUAAGGUGUUUUGGAAAGUGGCCCAUAGACCAAAAUUAAUUCAGAUUUUUUUUCCGGUAAGGGUGAUUGAUUUGGUAAUAAUGACAUAUAAUUACAAGUCUAGCAAGACCCUAUUUGAAAAUGAUAGAUUACCAAAUGGAGUUUAUCUGAAAUCACUAGUGUCUCUUGGUUUAACUAUGUAGUGCUAUUAUUAAUUCUUACAAAUAAUUUAUUUGACAUAAUGACCGAAGUAAAUAAUACAUUAAGCUCUUCAAAAUGUUUGUGGAUGAUUUUUUCAUGUGCAUAAUACAAAAAAUAUAAUUCCACAAAAAAAUUGAUAGGAUCAAUUCAAUUUAAUAAGCCCUUGAAGGAAGAUGACAAUCGAGUCUGACAUGGCGUGCUGCAAUUUAAUUAACUCUUAAUCGCAAAUUAUUAAUAUGAUGGUGUUGGACGUUUCAUUUUGACUCCACAAAGUACACCUUAUUCUUCAUGUGUGUCUUACUUUUUAUUAAAUUGCUUUGGACUGGUUGUUCUAUUUUUUACCACACAAAGCACACCUUAUGCUUCAUUUGUGUCUUUAUUAAAUUGCUUUGCAUAUAUUAAAAAAUAAUAAUAAACAACAGGCACAUGUUUGGUGCAAGGAGAAAAUGUUAUUUAACAUGUCUGCAUUAUAUUGAAAUUGCAAGUGAUCUAAUUUUGAGUGUUUUGCAUAGAAAUCUUCUUUGUCAAGGCACUCUUCAGAUUCUCUAGAUCAAGCUACCAUCAUGGAGCUUCAAAACCCUUUUUCGAAUAUCAUCUUCAUGCUCUCCUUUCUCAUCCUCUUAGUUCUAUUCAAAAUAGUUCAAAGAUGGAGUUUUAACAAUUCCACUACCAAAUUGCCACCAGGACCAUGGAAACUACCCCUCAUAGGAAACUUACAUCAGAUUAUCAGCAGAUCAUUGCCCCAUCACCUCUUCAAAAAGUUGGCAGAAAAAUAUGGACCUUUGAUGCACCUUAAACUAGGAGAGGUACCAUAUGUAAUAGUUAGUUCACCAGAAAUGGCAAAAGAGGUUAUGAAAACACAUGACCUUACAUUUUGUGAUAGGCCAAACCUUCUUUUGUCAACAAUAUGGAGUUACAAUGCUACAAAUAUUGUCUUCGCUACAUACUGUGAACAUUGGAGGCAAGUACGAAAGAUAUGUGUUAUAGAGCUAUUAAGUGCAAAGCGUGUCCAAUCAUUUAGGUCCAUAAGAGAAGAUGAAGUGACAAAUCUUGUUAAAUCAAUAACUGCAAGUGAAGGAUCGGUUGUAAAUCUCACUCGGAAGAUUUUCUCAAUGACAAAUGGGAUAACAGCGCGGGCAGCUUUUGGGAAAAGGAAUAGAAACCAAGAUGUGUUCAUAUCAGCAAUGGAGAAAGUAUUGGUGCUAUUAGGAGGAUUUGAAAUUGCAGAUUUGUAUCCUUCUAUUAAAAUGCUUCAAUGCAUGAGUAGGGAGAAGACCAAAAUGGAAAAAAUUCAUAGAGAGCUUGAUAUGAUAAUGCAAGACAUCAUCGACGAUCACAGAAGCAUUCACAAGGAAGCAAGCAACGAUGAAGAUCUAGUAGAUGUUCUUCUCAAGAUUCAACAGGAAAAUUAUUACUCAGAACAUCCUUUAACCGAUGACAAUAUGAAAUCAAUCAUCCAGGUUAGUCUAAAACCAAAAGUGGUAGCAAGUUUAUUUCACAAUUUAAAAACUAGUUUAUAAAUUUGCAUAGCUUAGAAGUCUGAUUUCUAGAGGAAAAAUAAUUAGGAUUAUCUUGAUUAAUAAUAGUAAUUUGGAGAGAACAUCAAAUUAAUGACUUAACUUUUGGGUAGCGUUGUACGUAAUGUUAAUGUUAAUCCAUUUGUAGGAUAUGUUCAUUGCUGGUACCGAAACAUCGUCAGAGGUAUUGUUAUGGGCGAUGUCUGAGAUGGUAAAGAACCCAAAGGUAUUGGAAGAAGCACAGAUUGAAGUAAGAAGAGUGUUUGAUAAAAAGGGGUAUGUGGAUGAGUCAGAGUUGCACCAAUUGAUAUACUUAAAGUCUGUCGUCAAAGAAACAUUGAGGUUACAUCCCGUUGCACCAUUGUUAAUUCCAAGAGAAAGUAUGAAGCCAUGCCAAAUUAAUGGGUAUGAAAUCCCAGCUAAGACAAGGGUAAUGGUUAAUGCUUGGGCUAUUGGAAGAGAUUCAAGGUAUUGGGUUGAAGCUGAGAGUUUUAAACCUGAGAGGUUUGUUAAUAGCACAAUUGAAUUCAAAGGCACGGACUUCGAAUUCAUACCAUUUGGUGCUGGAAGGAGGAUGUGUCCCGGAAUUGCAUUUGCCCUACCAAACAUUGAGCUACCUCUUGCUCAAUUACUUUGCCACUUUGAUUGGAAGCUUCCCAAUAAAAUGAAGAAUGAAGAACUAGAUAUGACCGAGUCAUUUGGGAUUACUGUAGGAAGAAAGCACGAUCUAUGUUUAAUUCCUAUUACUCGUCGUCUUUAAUAUGUAUUUUCUAAGCAAACAAGUUCAGAACGAUGUUCCUUAUAAAAUUUAUGUAUGAUAUUUGUACCACAAAUAUAGAAAUAUUUGUCAAGCAUUGCAUUUGGUUUAGCCUCUUGCUGAAUUAUUUUAUGAAUUUGAUUGAAAGCUUCCCAAUGGAAUGAAUAAUGAAGAACUUGAUAUGAUUGAGAGUCAUUUGGGCUUACAGUCCAAAGAAAACACGACCCAUAUGUUUGGUUCCUAUUACUGGUCGUCUACGAUAUUUAUAUUGUCUAAGCAAACAAGUUCACAAUGUGGUUAGUUUUCUUAUACUACUUUCAGCAAGGUGUAUGAAUCGUUGUUGAUUUUUUUUUUUUUUUUAAGAUUCUACGUUUGACAUUAGUUAGAUAUUCAAUUUAGUUCUUCUUAAGUUAAUCAGUUUGUUCCAACUCCUUCAUCAAAUCAACAUAUGCUAAAGCAUUUGCAUUAUUUUGCACGCCUAUUUUAGUAGGUUUAAUUUGUAAGGAUUAAGAUUUCUUUCUUUAUCUCUCUCUUGGUUUUCUGCGUAGGACCAGGAGAAUGAUGCAACAAAUUUAGGGUAUACUGAAUUUCAUUUAAAAAAUGUACAUCCGGAAAAUGUACAUCCGAUAUGUAAUUAUCGGAUGUGUAUUUAGGGUCUAAGAGAUAUUAGGGGACCUAAAGAGAAAUGUUCGAAAUAUUUUGUGCUUUAGAAAGAGGGAAAAAAGAGACAUGAUUAGGCACAAUUUUUUUCAAGAUUUAAUUCUUAAUAUUAUAAGAUGUAUAUGGCGAACAUGCCGGUUUUUGUUCUUCUUUGCAGUUUUUUUAUAAAUUUUUAUUUACACUAUUAUAAAUAUAUCUUUCAUCCAUUGAUCACAAACCACAGUCCUUCUUUUCUUCAAAAAAAAAAAAAAAACGAAACAAACCACGGUCCUUCUUACUCAUCAGUACAUUUUUCUCAUAUCAUAAUUCUCUCUACUUUCAUAUUCUCUAUCAUGUCUUCUCCUUCUCCUCCGCUAAAAACCAUUAAUCAAUUCGAUCAUAUAAAAAAAACCUUUUGAAACAUAUAUAUCUUCAAAAAAAGCAUUAAGAGGGUUGAAGAAUCAACUCAACAAUUUUUUUAUUUAGCUAACGAUCUUACUUGAAAGGUGACUCAUAUUUAUUAUGGGGAGCCUUUGAUCUCAUUGGCAUCUAAUAAACAUUUUGAUUACUAUCGUGAAUAUAAACUACUUGAGACUAACACGGAAGUACAAGACAUGUUUGCGGAACAAGAGUUUGGAUUGAGUGGUGAUACAUGUACCACCCCAUGUGGCAAUACACCCUUUACACCCAUACAAAAUUCUGACACGUGGCAACCUGGACCCCACACAAAUAGAAGAUAAAGUGUGGUUGUGAGAUGAACUUACCAAAAUAUCCCUAAUACAUAGGGUGUAUAAUGAGGUGUAUGAAUAAAGGGUGUUCAUGUAACAUUUUCCGUUUGGAUUAGAACCGCUUUUUUUGUACGUUAAGUCUGAGUAGAUUAUGAUAAGUAUCUACAAUUAACUUAUGUCAUGUUUGUUUAUCUAAUUUAAUGUAUUUGUAUCUUAGCGCAUUAUCUUCAUGUUGUAAUAAGUUUUUCAAUGAAAUUGCAUUCCUCAUUUAUUCUACAUUGUCUAUUAAUGUGUUUAAUUAACAUAAUAAAAAUUAACGAUAGAGAUGAGUUAAACGAUAAUAAUAACUAUAUGAAGAUAAUUUAAAAUAAAAUAAAAUAGAAAGUAAAUUUAAUAUUGGUAUGAGGAAAAUUCGUGCGAAUAUGACUGUUUUGCUGACACAAUCUACAUUUUCUCGGUGUUUUUUCCACAACAUCCAUUUUAGUCCAAAUACGAAUAUUGUUUGGUCGACCAUUCUUUAGUAUUUGUAUGGCGGGUUUGUGGCAAAGCUUGGGACCUUCAUGUGGGGGACAAUAACUCGUAUCGUGGACUAUUUCGAACCUUGUAUUAUGGGUGGCGUAUAGACUCUCGUUUAAACUUAUGUAUAAUGGUUCGGUAGUCAUGAUGAAAGCUAGAACAUGUGGCUAUAAUAUUAGAGCAAGGCAUAUAUGUAAAGCUUGAAAUUUCUCAUAGUCACACAACUCUGCUUACACGUCUACCUUGAAAGAUCUCAUUGACCUUCCCUCCCUAUAUUUGAUUGUUUCACAGACAGAGAAAGUAUAUAUCUAUCGAUCAAAUCAAUCAACUUGAUGAGGGUUGAACUUACCCACGACUUCCCGAAUCACCUUCAUACAGUAUUUCGUAAAUGGCAUAACCCACCCUUACAUACGCCUCAUGUCAUGUGCUCCCUUCAUAGUAGGUUGAUUGAACAAGAGCUGUGUUAUAAAUCCAAUGAACUUUCCAGCACGAUUUUAAAAAAAUAUAUAUAUUUAAACUAUUGAGAGCUCAACAAAGCAGCAAUAAGAAAAGGAAGAAGGAUCCCACGAAUUUGAAAGACAUUUUUGUAUUGUUUGACGUUCACAUGACACCAAAAAUAGCACAAAAAGCACCUUACCCUUUUCUCGAAACCAGUCUACUACCAAAAAUAGCACAAAUAGCACAAGGAAUAGUGGAUGAUUAUUUCAUGUGGAUAAUACAAAAAAUAUAAUUCCACAAAAAAAAAAAAAAAAAGUUUUCUAAACCGCAAAUUAUUAAUAUGAUGUCUGUUCUUGACUUCCAAAGUUUUCUAAAAUGUUCAUAUAAAAAAAAUAAAAAAAUUUCUAAGUAUUUUGAUUUAGCGAUAUGCUUCUUGUGUAGUGGUUGUUUUAUUUUGACUCCACAAAGUACACCUUAUUCUUCAGUGUGUCUUUUUAUUUAAUUAUUUUGGAUUGGAUGGUAUCAAUAUUUUUAAUUAUACGUGCUUUAGGUGUAUUGGAGGAUAUCAUCCAAUGAGGAGCACCUAUUUUUGACCACACAAAGCACACCUUAUCCUUCAUGUGUGUCUUUAUUAAAAUGCUUUGCAAAUAUAUAAAAAUAUUAACAACAGGCACGUUGGUUGGUGCAAGGAGAAAAUGUUAUUAAUAAAUAAUAUUUCUUUACAUUGGAACGUGUAUCUUAAUGUUAAUACUGUAUUGAUUUUAUAUUAGUAUUUGUUGCGUAUUAAUUAACAUGUCUGCAUUGUAUAGAAAUUGCAAGUGAUCUAAUUUUGAGUGUUUUGCAUAGAAACCUUCUUUGUCAACAAGGCCUUUGGAUUCUUUAGAUCAAACAACCAACAUGGAGCUUCAAAACCCUUUUUCGAAUAUCAUCUUCAUGCUCUCCUUUCUCAUCCUCUUAGUGCUAUUCAAAAUAGUUCAAAGAUGGAGUUUUAACAAUUCCACUACCAAAUUGCCACCAGGACCAUGGAAACUACCCCUCAUAGGAAACAUACACCAGAUUAGUGGCAGCUCACCCCCCCAUCACCUCUUCAAAAAAUUGGCAGAAAAAUAUGGACCUUUGAUGCACCUUAAACUAGGAGAGGUACCAUAUGUAGUAGUUAGUUCACCAGAAAUGGCAAAAGAGAUUAUGAAAACACAUGACAUCACAUUUUGUGAUAGGCCAAAUGUUCUUUUACCUAGAGUAUUUACUUACAAUGCUAGAGAUAUUGCUUUCUCUACAUACGGAGAACUUUGGAGACAAUUACGAAAGAUAUGUGUUGUAGAGCUAUUAAGUGCAAAACGUGUCCAAUCUUUUAGUUUCAUAAGAGAAGAAGAGGUGUCCGAUCUUGUUAAAUCAAUAU